ensembl:lncRNA
UUUGUUUCUUACUAUUAUUUACUUAUUUACUUAGAAAUAAGCCAUAAAAUAUUUUGGUUAGGAAAUAUUAUUAAAAAGAUCAAAACAGGUCAAACAUAAUCCCAAGAAACUUCAAAAACGUUAAGAUAUUAAUAGCUCAGAAAUCAUGAUAUUAAUGAAAAAAAUAUUCACCAGGAAUAAUAUGUUUGUGUGUACACGUGUAGCAGUGUGUGCAAACAAAUGUGUAAACUAAGUAUAUUAUUAGCUUUUUACUCCACUCAACAUAUUUACAGUAACGUUAAUUAAAUCUUGAAUCUAAAAAUGGUUUAAACGUUGUAACUAAUAACACACACAUUUCUAAUUUGAGACGUGAUUUAAACCUGAUUUUUCAAAGAUUGCUCCCAUUUAUAAUAUCUGAUGUCGUCACUGAACCAUCUGUAGCACUGUUCUAUAUUAUAGAUCAGUGAUCUGUAGCCUUGUUAAUAACAGCGGUAAAAAAUAAAUAAAUAAAUAAAUAAAUAAAAAUAUAUUAAAACUAUCCUACCAAUAUAACUCAAAUAUAAGUAACCUAUGUAAACAGAUAUUUCUACGAUCAACGGUUGGCAACGCCGAUAACAUUCACUGUACACAAAUGUAACGUCUGGUAGCCUACUUAAUAGUUAAUGGAAAGAGGUUUCAGACACUUACCUUUUUCUUGAUUACAAAAGAUCAAAACAAAAAUAUAAAAGUUAAAAGAAGAAAACUGGAGCAAUUCGUGAUGACAGCUUCGAGCUACAAACUGAAACGAGAAGUUAACAGCUGGCAACUGUUACUGAUGGGCGGGGCUAAGAAAGAAGCGUUUCUUGUUGUCAUGGUGACCACUGACUCAUGCCCUCAGGUGCCACAACUAAAGAUUAGAAGAGAAGAGGCAGUUUUCAGAGACAGAUCAUCUACCCCUAAAAGAAGGCACAUGAACAAAAAAAAUCUAUAUUCAUCUGUUUGCAUCAUUGGAAAGUCUGGCAAUAGAGAAGCUGUGACAAACGUCUUCUUUGUGUCUACUAGUCACUCUCUUUGUUAUCUUCUUACAUUGAUCUAAGACACAAAGGCUGCCAAGCACUUGAAUGAUGCACUGAAUGCGCCUUCAGAUUAUGAAAGGAUGGUCCAAUGAACUUAAUAGAUUCACUGAACUUUGUUUAACUGUAAGUACCUAUUCAAAAUAGUAGCUUUUAUAUACCCAGAUAUACCUUUAUAUGGAACCAGUAGGUAGUUUUCUAA